AUGCGGAGGGAUCAUUACCGAAGAGCUUGUGUCCCCUUUCUAGGGUUGAUCCUCUUCCUACCCUGUGUUGUCUGUACCACUGUUGCUUUGGCGGGCCGCUGGGCCCCGGCUCGGCCCCUGGCUCUGGCUAGGGAGCGCCCGCCAGAGAAUCUUAUCAAACCUGAAUGUUGGUGUCGUCUGAGUCCCAUAUAAUAGUAAAAACUUUCAACAACGGAUCUCUUGGUUCUGGCAUCGAUGAAGAACGCAGCGAAAUGCGAUAAGUAAUGUGAAUUGCAGAAUUCAGUGAAUCAUCGAAUCUUUGAACGCACAUUGCGCCCCUUGGUACUCCGGGGGGCAUGCCUGUUCGAGCGUCAUUACAACCCUCAAGCUCUGCUUGGUCUUGGGCGUCACCGGUCACGGUGUGCCUUAAAAACAGUGGCGGCGCCGCCUGGCCCCGAGCGUAGUACACACUCUCGCUACGGAGGCCCGGCGGAUGCUAGCCAGCAACCACCAUCCUAUCAAGGUUGACCUCGGAUCAGGUAGGGAUACCCGCUGAACUUAAGCAUAUCAAAGA
rnacentral:rRNA from 1 species